ACAACUCUUAGCGAUGGAUGUCUCGGCUCAAGUAACGAUGAAGGACGCCGCAAAAUGCGAUAAGCACUGUGAAUGGCAGAAUUCCGCGAAUCAGUAGAAUGCUGAACGCAUCCUGCACUUUCAGGAUUCUCUUGGAAGUAUAUCUGACUCAGGGCGUUUGUACCCUACUGCUCCAUGCUUUGUCACAUCUGUGGCCUGUAUGGUAGCGUUUUUGCGCGAUAGCGAUGCUUUUCCGUUGUCGCGU
rnacentral:rRNA from 1 species